rnacentral:lncRNA from 1 species
CGGGGAGUUCGUUAAUACUCGCACGAAGGGCUAUUUCUCGUCCAGGGGUAUUGUACACGGAACUACGGUAGGCUAUACCCCUGAGCAGAACGGAGCUGCGGAACGUUUAAAUCGCACUUUUUUGGACUAGGGCUAUGCUCGUUGAGUCUGGACUGCCUAAAUCAUUAUGGGCGGAGGCGUUAGCGACAGCCAACUAUCUUAGGAAUGUGUCGCCAACUGCUGGGUCAACCGUCACUCCGUACGAAGCUUUCUUUAACGUUCGUCCGAACAUCAGUCACCUGCGAGUCUUUGGAUGCGUUGCCUACGUCCACGUACCCGACGUCAAGCGCGACAAGUUCGACCCGGUGAGCAGGCGUGGAAUACUUGUCGGAUACGGGAACGGUGGACAGUAUCGUGUACUAUACGAGGACGGCAUUAUUGCCGUAGUUUCUAACGUUCGUUUUGACGAGUCUAACGUCGGCCGGCGGCGUAAUGCCGGGGAUUCUGAUUAUGAGUCCGAUGCCGAUGAGGAGGAGGAGUUUCACACUAGUUUAUCUGGUGAGGGAUCGCUGCCUAGGGCUGGCGAAGGGACACCAGGUAGCACCGUCGGCGAGGGAUCGCCGCAUUUGGGUGGCGAGGGGGCGCCGGCUGGGGCUGGACCUUCCAGCAGUGCGAACGUGCAAGGAAUCAAUCAGCCUGAUGUGGAAAUGGCGGGAACUAGGUACCCAGUUAGAGAGCGUAAACGCCCUGGCGAAUGGUGGCGAAACGAACCUGGUCGCACUGUCACUGGUCGCGUUAACGCUGCUUUCUCUGCUGGUAUUCCUGAGCCUAAUUCAUUUGCGGAAGCCAUUGCAAGUCCACAUGCAGACGACUGGCGGCGUGCGAUGGACGAGGAGAUCGCCGCCCAGAUGGCUAACAGUACUUGGGAGCUGAAGAAGCCACCUCCUGGUACUCGUUUGUUGCCGUGUCGUUGGGUAUAUAAGGUUAAGUACAGCGAUGACGGCAGCGUGGAGCGUUUUAAGGCGCGUUUAGUUGCCAAGGGUUUCGAGCAACGCGAGGGGAUUGAUUAUGGGGAGUUGAUGUUGUUACAGGGUGGUUAAGCUUCACCAGUGGCCUCCUUCCCGAGGCAAUUCCCUGCUCUCCCCUGCUAGAGGGGCACCCUAAGCCAUUCACCCCAUCCGACUUCAGAGUGUACUCUUUGAGUUUGGCAACUCACCACCAGCAUCCAACCAAAUCUAGCGGAUCAACGGCGCCUCAACUUAGUUCCUAGUCAGCUCGCAAGUUGAUUUUAUCACGUCCUACACCGUCCACAAGAUGGGGGGCCACCUCCCAUUUCACCACCUCUCAAACACCCGAGAGGUCGGCAGGCGGAUUUGAACCCGGGUCGACCGGGAGCAGAAGUCAGGCCUUAACCUCUGCCAGCCGCCUGCCUAGAGUUGUUUGCCCCCACCUCUCGUGGUUCGUCAUUACGUGCUUUAUUAGCAGUUGCCACAGCGCGGAACAUGACGGUGCAUCAGCUAGAUGUGUCUACUGCGUUCCUGAAUGGUGAGCUGAAGGAGGAGUUAUGGAUGGAGCAACCGCCUGGGUAUGUGUGUAAUGUUACAGAGUGGGAGGCUUCUGGGCCGCUUUUAUCACAUUGUCAGUUCUACGAUUUAUCAUCUUAUAGCACCAUCCACCACUACCACACUAUACUUCGCCAUACGAACUGUAAGUCCAAGGCGGCGGGUCCAGCCGUCUAGGACCCCUCCUCAUCCAUUCACCCGAACAACGGAAGAGACGGAGGGUUCGGCAAUCGCCACCAAUCCAGCGUGCGAAUCUGGUCCAUCAACUGCGACCUCAACUCCACAUCUCAGCAGCUAGCCAUAAUCUCGCGCUCCCGACUAAUUCGGGGGUCUCCCCAGGAAUCGAACCCAGGCCUGGGUAUGCAUCCAGUGACCGGUCGCUUGCGUGCAAGCUGCAGAAGUCUAUUUACGGUUUGAAGCAGGCACCCCGUUGCUGGUAUGAAAAGCUAUCAGCAGAGUUCGCCAAGUUGGGUCUUUAUCCUUCGAAGUCUGAUCCGGCGAUGUUUGUUAAGACUGACGAGCGAGGGGUUGUUAUUGCUUUGGUGCACGUAGAUGAUACCAUUGUUGCGUCGGAAGACCCGGAAAUGGUCCGGGCAAUUAAAACAGCAAUUGCGAAGGUCUUCAAGGUGCGCGACCUUGGAGAAGCAAAGGUGUUUUUGGGCAUGGAAAUUAGGAGGGAGAAGUCGGGUGAGAUAGUGUUGUCGAAGCAUAGGUAUAUUGCGCAGCUGUUGGAGCGUCAUAGGAUGAUUGACGCCAAGCCGAGGUCUACCCCUUUGCCUCCGGGCUUUAGGUACACUCCUAAGGGGGACGGAGAGGAGCUGCUGGGCAAUCCCACCGAGUAUAGGGCUUUGGUGGGAGAAUUGAACUAUCUGGCGACGAACACGCGGCCUGACAUUUCAUAUGCAUUGAGCGUUUUGUCCCGGCAUAUGGCCGCACCUACGAAGACUGCCAUGAACUUAGCAAUCGGCGUUCUGCGUUACCUGGCGGGGACUCGCGAACUAGGAUUGCGUUUUGGGGGUGUUGGCGACGUUGCUAUGUCCGGGUACAGUGAUUCGGACUGGGCAGGAGACCCAGUUACGCGGCGCUCUACGUCCGGCUACGUUUUCACUCUUAAUGGGGCUGCGAUUAGCUGGAGCAGCCAACUUCAACGUACUGUGGCGGCUUCGUCGGUGGAGGCUGACUACCAAGCUACAGCGGCGGCUGUUCACGAGGCUUUGUGGCUUCGCAAGCUGAUGGUUGAUUUGGGUUUGCCUGAGAGCGCUAUCAGAAUCCAAAUAGAUUCCCAGGGGGCGCUUAGCUUGGGAAAUAACCCGAUUACGUCUGCUCGGUCGAAGCACAUCGACGUGCAGCAUCACAUAGUGCGUGAGAGGGUGAAUAGUGGUGAGGUGCAGUUGGAAUACUGCCCUACGGAGUGGAUGGUUGCGGAUGUGCUAACGAAGGCUCUGGGCGAGGUGAAGUUCAAACGUUGCCGAGAUGCGAUGGGCCUUGUGUGAAGUGUGCAGAUGAACUUGGUACUCGUUGGGAUACGGCCCGAGGGGACGUGUUGAGGAAACGGUCCUCUCCCAACUCGUGUGGUUGUCGACCAGGGGAUUUGACCCCGGGUCUGCGCCUGACUAAUGGGGAAGGCUUACCCCAGAACCUUAUGGGCUACCGAUGCAUAUCCGGUAGCUAAGUGAUAGACAUUAGGGCACCGUCAGGACGGCGCAGUGAGAUCGCGGAAUGUACGUGCAGUUAGAUCGUGGAAUGUACGAGUUUUCCGCUAGCGCCGGUAUUUAGGGCGGUGACUGCGCUUAUUUGUUUAUCUCACUACGAUCGGUAUUCCUCAUAGGAAUCUCCUCAAGUCCUGCCGAACGCUAAUAAUACUCUAUACAUUACUUGUAACAGUUUAUCGUGCUAAAUAUCUUCGCCAGCGGCAAUCCUUCCGGAAUAACAAUCAGCGUUAGCCGUCACCGUCGCCAAUUCUUCAAUACUAUCUAGUACUAUUUUUACUAUACUAUUUUACUAUGUACGAACGCGGUACGAGCGUCGUAAACUAGUACCAGUUAAGAGCCCUGCAUAGUAAAUAGUACUAUGCAUAGUACUUUUAUAGUAUAGUACUCUUUGUUGAGGAAACGGUCCUCUCCCAACUCGUGUGGUUGUCGACCAGGGGAUUUGACCCCGGGUCUGCACCUGACUAAUGGGAAUGUACGUGCAGUUAGAUCGCGGAAUGUACGAGUUUUCCGCUAGCGCCGGUAUUUAGGGCGGUGACUGCGCCUAUUAGUUUAUCUCACAACGAUCGGUAUUCCUACCAGGAAUCUCCUCAAGUCCUGCCGAACGCUAACAAUACUCUUUACAUUACUUGUAACAGUUUAUCGUGCUAAAUAUCUUCGCCACCGGCAAUCCUUCCGGAAUAACAAUUAGCGUUAGCUGUCACCGUCGCCAAUUCUUCAAUACUCUUUUCUAGUAUAGUACCCGUGCCAACCCAACAUGGGAGCGCUUCAACAUCAUGGGCAUCAAGGGACAGUCUCUUCGGCCGACUAAAGUUGGCACGGUUAUGAUUCGGUCUAACGUCAACGAUAAACAGGCCAUCACUUUUAAGAAGGUCUACGUCGACGAGGAGGCCACCGCCAAAAUCCUAUCGGUCCGCAUCAUUGAUGAUCGUGGAGGCAGUGUGGUCUUCGGUGGCGGACAGGUGAAAGUAUACGUACAGAACCACUUGGUGCUGACUGGAAAGCGGGAUGGGGACUUGUAUCCCGUCUGCUACAGCAGUGGAGGUACGGGAGCUCUGAAGUGUGAAGACAACAGGAUACCUUCUGGUGGUGAUGCAGUGUGUGCUGCCGUGGGUAUCGGAGCUGAACGUGCAGCACUUUGGCACCGAAGGUAUGGCCACUUAGGAUACAGCAACCUUGAGGCGCUGCUGCGUCAUGAUAUGGUAACUGGGUUCGAUGUUGACCGACACAGCAUACAAUCAGCCAGCGCGUGUGUGUGUGAGACUUGCGUCUUUGCAAAGCAUACACGUGGUCCUUUUCCGUUAUCUGGGCAUAAGGCAGCGCAGCCUCUCGCGCUCAUUCACAUGGAUGUGUGUGGACCUAUGCCUGAACCUUCACCUAGUGGUUCGCGUUAUGUGACAACUCUGCUUGACGACCAUACUGGUCUUUCAGCUGUUGCGUUUACAGCGACCAAGGAGGAGGUCUACCAGAAGAUGGUGGUAAUGAUAGCUGGGAACUGGAGCGCGCUACUGGCAGGCAGGUUAAGGAGGUGCGUACAGAUCGUGGCGGGGAGUUCGUUAAUACUCGCACGAAGGGCUAUUUCUCGUCCAGGGGUAUUGUACACGGAACUGCGGUAGGCUAUACCCCUGAGCAGAACGGAGCUCAGGGUCUGGUCUGGGUUGACACUACUGCAAUUAGCGGUUUAAGGUCCUGGGUUCGAUUCCUGGGGAGACCCCCGAAUUAGUCGGGAGCGCGAGAUUAUGGCUAGCUGCUGAGAUGUGGAGUUGAGGUCACAGUUGAUGGACCAGAUUCGCACGCUGGAUUGGUGGCGAUUGCCGAACCCUCCGUCUCUUCGGGUGUUCGGGUGAAUGGAUGAGGAGGGGUCCCUGAAGGCUGGAUCCGCCGCCUUGGACUUACAGUUCGUAUGGCGAAGUACAGUGUGGUAGUGGUGGAUGGUGCUAUAAGGUGAUAAAUGAUCUAGAACUGACAAUGUGAUAAAGCGGCCCAGAAGCCUCCCACUCUGUAACAUUACACAGAACGGAGCUGCGGAACGUUUAAAUCGCACUUUUUUGGACUAGGGCUAUGCUCGUUGAGUCUGGACUGCCUAAAUCAUUAUGGGCGGAGGCGUUAGCGACAGCCAACUAUCUUAGGAAUGUGUCGCCAACUGCUGGGUCAACCCUCACUCCGUACGAAGCUUUCUUUAACGUUCGUCCGAACAUCAGUCACCUGCG